AUGCAGUCGAGCGAACUGAUUAGAAGCUUGCUUCUAUGACGUUAGCGGCGGACGGGUGAGUAACACGUGGGCAACCUGCCUGUAAGACUGGGAUAACUUCGGGAAACCGAAGCUAAUACCGGAUAGGAUCUUCUCCUUCAUGGGAGAUGAUUGAAAGAUGGUUUCGGCUAUCACUUACAGAUGGGCCCGCGGUGCAUUAGCUAGUUGGUGAGGUAACGGCUCACCAAGGCAACGAUGCAUAGCCGACCUGAGAGGGUGAUCGGCCACACUGGGACUGAGACACGGCCCAGACUCCUACGGGAGGCAGCAGUAGGGAAUCUUCCGCAAUGGACGAAAGUCUGACGGAGCAACGCCGCGUGAGUGAUGAAGGCUUUCGGGUCGUAAAACUCUGUUGUUAGGGAAGAACAAGUACGAGAGUAACUGCUCGUACCUUGACGGUACCUAACCAGAAAGCCACGGCUAACUACGUGCCAGCAGCCGCG
rnacentral:rRNA from 1 species